ACCCGCACAAGCGGUGGAUGAUGUGGAUUAAUUCGAUGCAACGCGAAAAACCUUUACCUACCCUUGACAUGUCUGGAACCUUGCUGAGAGGCGAGGGUGCCCUCGGGAGCCAGAACACAGGUGCUGCAUGGCUGUCGUCAGCUUGUGUCGUGAGAUGUUGGGUUAAGUCCCGCAACGAGCGCAACCCUUGUCAUUAGUUGCCAUCAUUUAGUUGGGCACUCUAAUGAGACUGCCGGUGACAAACCGGAGGAAGGUGGGGAUGACGUCAAGUCCUCAUGGCCCUUAUGGGUAGGGCUUCACACGUCAUACAAUGGUCGGUACAGAGGGUUGCCAAGCCGCGAGGUGGAGCCAAUCCCUUAAAGCCGAUCGUAGUCCGGAUCGUAGUCUGCAACUCGACUACGUGAAGUCGGAAUCGCUAGUAAUCGCAGAUCAGCAUGCUGCGGUGAAUACGUUCCCGGGUCUU
rnacentral:rRNA from 1 species